GACAGGGCAAGCUGGGAAGCUGCACUGUGACUGGCAGCUAGCAUGGGUCUCCCCACAGCUCCAGGACUUACCUGUAUAGGUGGUGCCAUCAAUAUCCACAGACAUAUUGAUGCUUCCAAUGCUGCUUGUAGUCAGGUUCAGCGCUGCAGUCGAAGUCUCUGCUCUGUCUUCUGUGGAAUCAGAGACAGCAGACCUGGUCAAGCUUCCUGCUGUCCUCUGGUGCUGCUUAGUCAAGCUGGUCUGUGGUCUAACACUCACUAGUAGCUCUGUCUCAAUUACCUCUCAUCAUAGGUCUGGCAGCAGAACCAGGCUCACCAGCUUCCUGCCAAGUUACUCCUGGACUCUCAGAGUGAAGGAAGAGCAGGCCAACCCUAACUGGGUUCCCAUUAUACAUCAGCUCUGGAAAUCAACCUUGGCCUCCUCCUGGCCCUGAUCCAUCUGAACUGUAAGGAUCUCUGGAGAAGGAUCUUUUGCCUCCAGAACCUUGCCUUCCCUGCCCUCUGGGGCAGCUGGCACACAGGACUUCUGCCUGGCUCUGACCUUUGCCUUCCCUCUACAGAGUCAAGCAUUCUUCCAUGAGGGACAGACCUGACCGCAGCCUACAUCAGAGUACAAGGACUUCAUUGCUGGAAGCAACUUCUGAUCUAGAAAACAUCAGGAUGGUGAGAUCUUGGUGGGCACGGAACCUCCAGUGGCUCUCUUCUGGCCUCUAGAGUCUUCUAGGGCAGUGAAGGCAAUGGAAGGAUGAGUGGAGAGGACGUUUCCUAGGCGAGGUCAGGAUGUACUACAGCCACCCAGCCUCAGGGCCUUAAGUGGAGCUGGGGUGUGGCAGGCAUUAUGAAAGGCAGAGUUACACACUGAUGCUUACCCCUGCC